rnacentral:lncRNA from 1 species
GCUUGCAUUUGUCUUCUCAUUUAGCUUUCUUAAUUUUAUUUCUAGAUUUUUUAUGUCAUUUUUAUUUUCAGAUGAUCUUUGUUUGCAGUAAGAAAGAGUUGCAGUUCUUACCUCUGAUUUAAACAUAUCCCAGAGUGUUUUUAAAUUUUUGGUGAGUAUUUGUUUUUUAUGGUUUUUAAUUAAGUUGUUUAUGAGGUCAAUAUAUUUUUGCUCUUUAAGUAUACUAUUGUUUAUUUGAAAGUAACCCCUGCCUCUUUCUUCUGAAUUUUGUCUAACUUGUAAUGAAAUGGCCUGGUGAUCAGUGUACGAGAUCAUUGCGGGUCGAAUAUCUACUUUCAUAACAUGCGGUCUUAUAUCAGGACUAAUCAAGAAGAAGUCAAUUCUGCUUGCUAUGUUUGUAUCAUUUUUCCUUCUCCAUGUGAAUUGACUAGUAUUUGGAUUAAGUUCUCUCCAUAUAUCUGUUAAAUUAUUUUUCUUUAUUAGUUUUUUUAAACUAUUUACAGGUUUGUAGUUUCUUGGGAGGAUAUUAGUUCUUCUAUCAUUAAUUGAGAGAGUUUCGUUCAUGUCACCUCCUAAUAUAAGGAUACCCAAACGAUUGUUUUCAAUUAUAUUUUGAACCUUUUUGAAAAAUUUGUUUCUGUUUUUGUGUUGAUUUGGAGCAUAUACAUUUAUUAGAGUAAAAAUAUUGUCAUUUAUUUCUAUGUUUAUCAAAAUUAUUCUACCUUCAUUAUCCUUUAUCUCGUUUAUUGUUUUACAUUUUAAAUUAUUUUUGACAAAGAUUGAAACACCUCUUGAUUGUGUGUUACCAUAACUAUGAAACAUUUUGCCAUCAAACUCAUUAUUUAUUGUUUGUUCAAUAUUUUCUAUAAAAUGUGACUCUUGAAUGAAAAGAAUGUUACAUUUUUGAUUUUUUGUCCAUAAUUGUAAUCUUUCUCUUUUGCUUUUUUGGCCUAAACCUUGACAGUUUAGUGAUAUCAUAUGAAGAUUUUCACCCAUUGUUUAGUUUAGAGUUUAAAUGUGUAGUUGAUAUCAAAACUACAUUUAGAAGGAGACAUAUUUGUUUUUACCUCAUAUUCAGAAAGUACUGUCAUUAAAUGUUUGGUUUUAAAGUUACACAAUGUACUAUAAAAACAUUGGUACAUGUACAUGAUUAUUUGUGAAUUUUAAAAAUAUAUACAGUACCAGUAAACAAAAUAUAUACACAUACUUAACCAUGUUCAUGAAAGUAAAUGAGACAUAGAAACACAAACAUAUAUUAGCAUACAUACAUGUACAUGUAUUUAAACACAUAUUUUCAUUUAUUUGUUCCCAUACAUUAGAUUGUACUAUUGCUUUUUUGCCAUAAUUUGAUACUAUAAAUAUAUAAUAAAAAGACAGAUAUUUUUGUUAUAUCAUGUAUAAUAAUUUCAUUUUUAUUUAUUUUUAGGUUUGUUAUUUUAACAGUAUAAUGAGAUUGUAGGACCAUGUUCAUGAUGUAGGAGUUUACCAUGUUUACAAUACUUACGGAAACA